CGGCAACAGCUCAAAUUUGAAAUCUGGCUCUUUCGGGGUCCGAGUUGUAAUUUGUAGAAGAUGCUUCGGGUGAGGCUCUGGUCUAAGUUCCUUGGAACAGGACGUCAUAGAGGGUGAGAAUCCCGUCUUUGAC
rnacentral:rRNA from 1 species